UGGUGUUGUGGCUGAAUUGUCGGGAACAAAUGCUGCUGCAGGCGCCAUCGGCGCGGCGAGUGGAGAACUCGCUGCACGUGCUAUUCGUGAAUAUUUA
rnacentral:tRNA from 1 species